rnacentral:misc_RNA from 1 species
ACGAAAUUGGCCGAAGCUCCAAAGCUACAAUUGAGAAGGGUUGUGAUCACACAUCAGAAAGUGGGGGCGGAAUAACAUUUUGAUGAUACAUCAAAUACAUUGACCAGAACUUCAGCAACAAUAAGAUUAUCGUGGAGCAAGCUUAAACUGAUAUUUAAAAAUAAAAAUACAUAAAGGAACAGAUUUGGGAACCCGUCAAUGUAAAAAUUUACAAUAGCAGCCUGAAACACAAGAUCUACGUAUCAGAGCUACAAUAUGCAAUUCUCUACUACCGUUUUGGUGAUGUAAGUUGCCUCAGGUUGUACUUGGCCAACUCCUUGUACUUUUCAACCACGCCAAUCAAGCACACAGUCCUAACAAUUUCAACUACGAUUGUCUUGUCAGGAUUGCUAAGGUCGACUUUAUGUGGCCCAGGAACAGAUUUUGCAACUGAAUUUAUAAUUUUCAUCCUGUCAAUGCCAGUGUUUGCACGAGCUUCAUAAAGCACAGCAAACUUCUGCGGCUCUCGAGUAUCCACAGGAAAAUAUUUUGCCACAACUGGAGUCAUUGCUUUUGAAAUUUCCUCUUCUGAAGCAUAGCACGAAACUUCAAUUGGCAACACUCUUAAGAUAAACCUACAUAUGAAAACAGAACUUUAGCCACCUCAUAUAAUACGACAAUUUUCUCAUGCAGCUUAUAUGAGACUUCUUCCAGCACUAGGCAUGCCAAUUUGCUUGUCUUACACAUGAAGCCUACAGCUAAUAGCCUACAAGUCCCAAAAAAAGCAAAAAGAUCCAGCCAGCACUGGUUGGAAGUUAUGCACUAGAUAAAAUUUAAUCAAACAGAUAAGCAUUUCAUAAACCUUGACAUGUGUUUCCUAGUUGAUGCAGCAGAAGUCAUCAUGUGCUGUACAAUAUCUCUAGGAGAAGGGUCUCCAUCUCUCUUGCGCAUUUGAACAAAAGCAACACCAUUACAACCUGAAUCAAGAUUUGCAAAGCGCCUCUGUUUGAACAUUACAACAUUAAAUAGCACAAAAAAAGUAUGAGGAGGCAGUCAUAACUCACAAAUAGUUAUCAAGGAUGGACUCCAUCCUUUUCUUAUAUCCACAAAUAACAAUGGGAAUUAGAUAAUUGAGCAUAAUCUACAAGAUUGGAGAUUAAAUUAGCCAAGAAAACAGUUCUAGAAUAAAACCAAAGUAAGUGCUACCAACUCUAGACCACUCAUGCAAUUGUCAGUGUUUGAAUGUUAACUUUGUCACUGUUUUCACAAACAUACCACCUUCAUGAAGCAGAAUCAGGAUACACAUUUUUGCAUGCCAUGGUCGUAUAUUACAAUGCAGCUUGUUUGUCUUAUUUUUCUCAGGCCAAACACUAAUCAUAUCUUCCGGCCAUCAAAACAAUAAAUUUAUUUCUGUUUUUUUCUUAAUUAAGUACUUAUAGUAAAGCUAAAUCAUUCUUAUCAAAUACCUGCUCAACGUAAUUCUUACAGAUGGAUGUACCAAAUAAACAAAAAGAGAAUUUACUGAUAUACAUAAUCAUUACAAAUUAUAUAGAUAACAAUCACAAAAAAAAAUACAGACAAGGGGAAGAAAGAGCACAUCACCAGAAUAAAACAACAAUGAAAAGCCUACAAAUGGGAUAACUACACCCACAUAAGCAAUUUUAGUGUUCAUCUAAUUUAGGAACUGUUAUUUAUUACUUUUAUGUAAGUAUGGAACAUCAAGACAAAAAAAUGAAAAUAAAUGGGAAAAGAGGCAGAAUAUUACUCACCUUACUCCUAUCUCCAAUUUCUUUGAGUUCAUCUUCAAUAAGCUUAUCAAUGGAUUUCUGCUCCACCUUUUCAUGGACAACAGAUUUUGAGACACAUGUUUCUAUGCAUUGCUUCUUCACUGGAGGCUCCUUGGCUUCAUUUGUUUGAUUUUCCAGAUCUUUAGCACUCUCUUCAUUAUCAUUAGUGUUUUCUUCCGUUUGAUUUCCACAGCACAAAUUCUCCACAUUAAUAUCUAACUUCUCAUUUGUUGGACUUUCACUUUUAACAUCAUUGUUUUGGUUUGUAUCUGGUUUAUUCUCUUCCUCCCCAUCCUCCUCUUCAUCCUCUUCCCCCUCCACCUCAUUAUCAUCUUCUUCUCUUUCUUCAUCGUCAUCAGAAUAUACAAACUUUAUCUUUUUAUUUAAAGGUUUAUUAGGCAACUCUGCUGGCUUUACAUCUGUAUCCUUACCAUGGAUCAGCUCUUCAUAAAAAGAAUCAAUAACGUUAAUAGCCUCAUGAGAGGCUUGGCGCUCUUUGCCACCAUCACAAGUGAUAAAGAAGCCCUGAACUCCUGGGCGUAAAGGGUAGGGGCCCUUCUUCUUCACUGGCUUAUUUUGGGGGAGAUAGCGUUGUUUCCUCUUCUUACUCUUGUUUGUGUUGGCGGUGGCAGCAGACUUCGGCUUGUUCUCGGUGGCCAUUGAGCAGAGCAGGAGCAAGAAGCGUCGUGUGCUCUCAGGGUUCGGCAGACACAAA